rnacentral:sRNA from 1 species
GAUAGCAGUAAAACUAACUACUGGUACAUUUAACCUUACACAGCUUUCUUCUUGUAGAGUUGUAAGGAUUCACUUUGAAUCAAACAGUGAGCCUAGGGUCUUAGGCUCACUUUUACAUGGAUAUUAGUUUAUGUUGUACUGUAUGGUGUAACAUCAGGCUCCAUUACGCGGCGUAUACAGCUAACAAAUAUUCAAUGAGGAGUCAAAACAGAGUGAUGAAGUUAACGAAAGACAAUUCAAUGAUUGAAUUGAAUACAAGUGAUCAUAUCUAAAAUGAUUAAAGUAACUUUAUAUGGAGAGAGCCAUAUGUCUCAUAGAUAGCAAUUGCUUGUGGUUACUCAAAAAUAUUUCUAUCAAUUUCGAUUCUCGAACAAAGUUUGUAUAAGAGAAACUAUUAAAGGUUGAAAA